GAUUUCAUUCCAGGAUUCUCAACAAAAGCUAUGCUGACUGAAGAUGAAGUUCCCUGCAUUUGGAAUCUGCCCAAGGGCAGGCAGGAAAGACACAUCCUGGGCCCUGUCAAUCAGGGAUUAUCAUUCUAUUCUAGCCGGACCAAAAAGAAGGAUGCCUUUUCCAUAGCUGUGUCUGCCUUCUGUAAAUACUAUAUUACCUAAGUGACUGACAACUGCUUGAUCAUGAGAAUAAACACUUGAUAAAACUGAAGCCAUUAAUAGCAAGUAAGAGCUUUGCGCUUAAAGUUUCACCAAGGAGCUUUGAAACAUAUCUGCAUCUUCCCCAGUCUUUUCUUUUAAAUUAAAUCAUAUGUAUGGUGACCUUAUGCCUCUCCUGAAUUAAUUGCACCCAUCUCCCAAUAAGCUCAAGUUGCUCUCAAAUCAAGGUUAGUUUUUUCUGACAAUAUCAUGAAAACAGAGGUGGUAUUCAGCAGGUUCUGACCAGUUCUGGAGAACCGGUAGCAGAAAUUUUGGGUAUUUUGGAGAACCAGCAAAUACCACUUCUGAU